rnacentral:rRNA from 1 species
GAUGAACGCUGGCGGCGUGCCUAGUACAUGCAAGUCGAGCGAACAGACGAGGAGCUUGCUCCUCUGACGUUAGCGGCGGACGGGUGAGUAACACGUGGAUAACCUACCUAUAAGACUGGGAUAACUUCGGGAAACCGGAGCUAAUACCGGAUAAUAUAUUGAACCGCAUGGUUCAAUAGUGAAAGACGGUUUUGCUGUCACUUAUAGAUGGAUCCGCGCCGCAUUAGCUAGUUGGUAAGGUAACGGCUUACCAAGGCAACGAUGCGUAGCCGACCUGAGAGGGUGAUCGGCCACACUGGAACUGAGACACGGUCCAGACUCCUACGGGAGGCAGCAGUAGGGAAUCUUCCGCAAUGGGCGAAAGCCUGACGGAGCAACGCCGCGUGAGUGAUGAAGGUCUUCGGAUCGUAAAACUCUGUUAUUAGGGAAGAACAAAUGUGUAACUAACUAUGCACGUCUUGACGGUACCUAAUCAGAAAGCCACGGCUAACUACGUG